rfam:Verrucomicrobia bacterium RIFCSPHIGHO2_12_FTLL_41_10 rifcsphigho2_12_scaffold_3327, whole genome shotgun sequence.
GCUCACGUGGCGAAACUGGCAGACGCGUACGUCUCAGAAGCGUAUGGGUAAUUCCAUGGAGGUUCGAGUCCUCUCGUGAGCA